GAGAGCAAACCAUGCCCUUUGUACAGACAGCAUGUUUGGACUUGGCUUGGGAAGAAUUUGAGUUGCAGUCUCUAGCACACCGUGCAGAUUACAGGUUUACAGAUAAAUGCUGUCCAGCUUUGCUGUAAAAGUGGUGUGCUCACUCCUACAUUUGAACUGUCCUGGAAUUUUCAAAUUGAAAAUAAAAUUUCAAGUACA